rnacentral:lncRNA from 11 species
AGCGAAUCCAAAUUGGGGGGUUGGGGAGAAUGACAGCAUUUGAGCUUCACUUCAGGCAAAAAAUAAAGCUUGAGUCAGGACUGAAGAGGAAAGAGCAGAAAUAGAUUCUUCUUCAAAGAACAGUACACUCUUCCACUUUUGACAAUUCAUGGGAAUAUUUGAAUUAAGGAACCUCCUGUCCCUUUCCUGGUACGCCUUUGUUCACCAUGAGGUUUAUUGAGAGAGCUUUGGGUGAAGGCUACCACCUUAAAAACAAAAGGAACUCCCCCUGUGUCUACACUCCUCCUUCUCUUAAAGGUAAGAUACCUUUCAAAUUGGUUUCCAGUUUUUAGGUAUUACAGUAAUGCAGGUUUAU